CACGUAGGGGGCAAGCGUUGUCCGGAUUUAUUGGGCGUAAAGAGCUCGUAGGUGGUUCGGUAAGUCGGGUGUUAAACCCCCAGGCUCAACCUGGGGACGCCACUCGAUACUGCUGUGACUAGAGUCCGGUAGGGGAGCGUGGAAUUCCUGGUGUAGCGGUGAAAUGCGCAGAUAUCAGGAGGAACACCAGCGGCGAAGGCGACUUUCUGGCCUAUAACUGACGCUGAGGCGCGAAAGCGUGGGGAGCAAACAGG
rnacentral:rRNA from 1 species